rnacentral:rRNA from 1 species
AGGAAUCUGCCUGGUAGUGGGGGACAACAUGCGUAAACGCAUGCUAAUACCGCAUACGCCCUACGGGGGAAAGGAGGGGAUCUUCGGACCUUUCGCUAUCAGAUGAGCCUGCGUGAGAUUAGCUAGUUGGUGGGGUAAAGGCUCACCAAGGCGACGAUCCCUACCUGGUUUGAAAGGAUGAUCAGCCACACUGGGACUGAGACACGGCCCAGACUCCUACGGGAGGCAGCAGUGGGGUAUAUAGCCCAAUGGGCGCAAGCCUGAUGCACCCAUGCC